AAACUAACUAGGAUUCCCUUAGUAACGGCGAGUGAACCGGGAUGAGCUCAAAUUUGAAAUCUGGCGUCUUUCAGGCGUCCGAGUUGUAAUCUAUAGAGGCGUUUUCCGCGCCGGACCGCGUCCAAGUCUCUUGGAAUAGAGUAUCAAAGAGGGUGACAAUCCCGUACUUGACGCGACAACCGGUGCUCUGUGAUACGUUCUCAAUGAGUCGAGUUGUUUGGGAAUGCAGCUCUAAAUGGGUGGUAAAUUCCAUCUAAGGCUAAAUAUUGGCGAGAGACCGAUAGCGAACAAGUACCGUGAGGGAAAGAUGAAAAGCACUUUGGAAAGAGAGUUAAACAGCACGUGAAAUUGUUAAAAGGGAAACGAUUGAAGUCAGUCGUGUGGGAAGUAUUCAGCCGUCUUUGGCGGUGUAUUUGCUUCUCACGGGUCAACAUCAGUUUGAUCCGGUAGAAAAAGGCGGGAAGAAGGUGGCACCCUCGGGUGUGUUAUAGCUUCCUGUCAUAUGUGCCGGACCAGACUGAGGAACGCAGCUUGCAGCAAUGCCGGGGUUCGCCCACGUACAAGCUUAGGAUGUUGACA
rnacentral:rRNA from 1 species